UACGAAGGGGGAGCUAGCGUUGCUCGGAAUCACUGGGCGUAAAGGGUGCGUAGGCGGGUCUUUAAGUCAGAGGUGAAAUCCUGGAGCUCAACUCCAGAACUGCCUUUGAUACUGAGGAUCUUGAGUUCGGGAGAGGUGAGUGGAACUGCGAGUGUAGAGGUGAAAUUCGUAGAUAUUCGCAAGAACACCAGUGGCGAAGGCGGCUCACUGGCUCAUUACUGACGCUCAUGCACGACAGCGUGGGGAUCAAACAGG
rnacentral:rRNA from 1 species